rnacentral:lncRNA from 1 species
GCGCGAGAUCGGCGAGACGAACUACGACCUGCUAUUCUACGCUUGACCUGCUGAGAGACAGCUUGCUUUCCGCAUCAUUCUCCCGAUUUAAGCUCCCGAUACCUUUCCUUCUACCGCUACCGUUCUAUCGUUCAUUCUACCGAUUAAUUUAUCCUAUGAACUCUUUUCAUUCCUUUUCCCUUCCUUCUCAGUUUUGCUAAUAUAACGUAUAAUUUAAAUUAGAGUCAGUUUUGUGUGCCUGAAGUCAACCGCCAAGAAUCUGCAACUAUGAUGUGCCCUUCGUCGUCUACCACAACACCCUGUGGUCUCAAGAAUUGCUUUGAACCAGUACCUUCCCCACCUAAGAACCUUGCGGUUCCCAAGUUCGGCGGAAUAACGACUAGCCGGUGAUUGUUGAAGUCGGUUACAAUUAUGUUGCCCUCUGGAGAGAAAGCAACACCUCGAGGCGAAUCAAAGUGCUUUGAAGGACCAGUGGUAUUUUCGAAGCCAAACUUUCCUAAAUAUACACCUUGGUGUGUGAAUAGUUGAAUACGAUGAUUUCGUGUGUCAGAGACAACUAUUUGGCCUUCAGAAUUAACAGCCACAUCCCAAGGGUAAUUGAAUUGGCCUGGCCUAGAGCCCUUUUCACCAAAGGUCUCCCACGAGGUAUGACAUGCCGUGGGAAGUUGGAUACUAUCCUACUACUGCCCAUGGGAGUUUCUAUUGCCGCUGUCCGACCUCUAACAGAUCGAUGAUCUCCUAUGGGACCUGGAUUUCCAAAAGUGACUGGUCCCACGGAGGCGAAUGAAUUUACCAAAUUGAAAUCUGAAUCUAGGAAUGACAUCCAGUCGUCGUCCCUGGGUACUACAGAAUUCUGAUAUUGACGAAUCUGAAGCACCUGAGCACAGAUAUAAGUAGAUUUUAGUCAUUUAUUAUCUUACCUAAUGGUCAAAGAUAUUGGAAAGAGCAAUAUACACCUUUUAUAUAUACAAAUUUUCACUGCCUUUAAUUGAUCGCCUGUGAUUGGCAAGUGGUUAAAAUAUUACAUUUUCUCAUAAUAACGAUGUACAUAUUGCUAAAUAAAAAGAAAAAAGAACUAA